GCCGAUGUAGCUCAGUGGUAGAGCAGCGGUUUUGUAAACCGCCGGUCAGGAGUUCGAGUCUCCUCAUCGGCU
rnacentral:tRNA from 1 species